rnacentral:miRNA from 1 species
GAGAGAGAGAGAGAGAGAGAGAGAGAGAGAGAGAGAGAGAGAUGAGGUGAAAUGUGAAUGAGGAAUGAAGAAAAGUUUAAAGAGAAUUAAAAGUUUUAAUGGCCAAGAAAAUAAGAUGGGUUGGGUUUUAGAUUUUAGAUUUUAGAUUUUAGGAAUAACUUGCACGCAUGAGAGAAAUGAGAGAAAUGAGUGAAAUAGGCAUGGAAAACGCGGGAAGCAAUGUCCCUUCUCUCUCUCUCUCUCUCUCUCUCUCUCUCUCUCUGUGCCUUCCCGA